GUCAGUGAUAUCGAGUCCACAUUUUGUGAUGUCUUUGUGUCAGAGGCUAAAUAUGAGGAGUGGGGACACGUCAUCUCAGAACCACGAAUUCGUUCUUCUCUAUCGCCAAACCAGCCGCUCACCUUCCUGACUGAACUGUGCAAAGUAAAACGCAACUGGUUUAGUGGAAGAGAAGAACAGACACGUUGGCUAAGGGAUGACAUGACAACUCCAACGCUCUUCCCCCCAACCUCUGCUGACUAUACAACUGCACUUCUAGGUUGGCUUAGAGAUGACAUGACAACUCUGACACUCUCCAACCUCUGCCGAUUAUACAAUUCAAACUUUGGU